AUAUUUAUUAUCUCUCUUCAACUUCAAAUCUGAACGAAAGCCAACGCUCCCUUUGAAACAGCUUUGACGAUCCCCCUCCAUUCACACCAACUUCAUAUAAAUCCCUAAUUUUCUCUUAUCACCCACCACCUACAAAAUAAUUCCUCUCUCUCUCUCUCUCUCUCUCUCUCCAGUGCACUCCCGACACAAAGGUUCACCUCCCCUCUCUCUCUCUCUCUCUCUCUCUCUCUCUCCUUCUCCUCUCCUAUGCUAUGUGUUACGGAGGGACAUCACCCGAGCGUUAACAUGGAAACAGGCGAUCGAUUCCCUCAAUGGAGUCUUCAGGAGACCAAGGAGUUGUUAUUGAUCAGGGCGGAGCUCGAUCGGACUUUCAUGGAGACCAAACGGAACAAGCUCCUCUGGGAGGUUAUCUCGACAAGGUUGAAGGAGAAAGGUUACCAUCGAAGUGCAGAUCAGUGCAAGUGCAAGUGGAAGAACCUUGUUACCCGAUAUAAGGGCUGUGAAACUAUUGAACCUGAUUCCGUGAGACAACAAUUCCCAUUUUACAACGAGAUACAGUCUAUCUUCAACGCCAGGAUGCAGAGGAUGCUAUGGCUUGAAGCUGAAGGCGGCGGAGCGGGCAGUUCUAGUUUGAGCAAAAAGAAAACGCGGAUGUCAUCGGACGAUGACGAUGAGAACGACGAGGAGAAGUUCAGUGGUAAGAAGAAGAAAAAGAGUAGGAGCAAUAACAGUACGGCGGGUAUAGCAGGCAGCAGUAGUAGCACUAACAAUAAUAAUUUGCAAGAGAUAUUAGAGGAAUUCAUGAGGCAACAAGUGCAAAUGGAAGUGCAAUGGCGAGAAGCCAUGGAGGCGAGGGAACAACAGAGACGGUUAAAGGAGAUGGAAUGGAGACAGACAAUGGAGGCGUUGGAGAAAGAGAGGUUAUUGAUGGAUAGGAGGUGGAGAGAGAUAGAGGAACAAAGACGAAUUCGAGAGGAAGCUCGGGCGGAGAAGAGAGACGCCCUCAUCUCAGCUCUUCUAAACAAAAUAAGGCGUGAAGACAUAUGAUGUGAUGUGAACUAGUUAUAUUGUUUUGAGGGGGGGAAGAGCUGCAGCUGCUCUUGUUUUCUUGUACUGUAGAGAAGCCCUGAGAGAGGUGUAAAUAUAUGGGAGUGUAAAGAAUGAAGAUAGGAGGAAGGUUAUUUCUUUGGGAAAGAAGCAAGAUGAUGUGGUUUUCACUCUCCACUUUAUAAGAGAGAGAAUUUAAGGUAAAAGGAAGGUGAUACCAAUUUUGUAUCAGUAUUUGGGAUGCAAAAUUUGCACU